GAUGAACGCUGGCGGCGUGCCUAAUACAUGCAAGUCGAGCGAACGGACGAGAAGCUUGCUUUUCUGAUGUUAGCGGCGGACGGGUGAGUAACACGUGGAUAACCUACCUAUAAGACUGGGAUAACUUCGGGAAACCGGAGCUAAUACCGGAUAAUAUUUUGAACCGCAUGGUUCAAAAGUGAAAGACGGUCUUGCUGUCACUUAUAGAUGGAUCCGCGCUGCAUUAGCUAGUUGGUAAGGUAACGGCUUACCAAGGCAACGAUGCAUAGCCGACCUGAGAGGGUGAUCGGCCACACUGGAACUGAGACACGGUACAGACUCCUACGGGAGGCAGCAGUAGGGCAUCUUCCGGCAUGGGCGAAAGCCUGACGGCGCAACGCCGCGUGAGUGAUGAAGGUCUUCGGAUCGUAAAACUCUGUUAUUAGGGAAGAACACAUGUGUAAGUAACUGUGAACAUCUUGACGGUAACUAAUCAGAAAGCCACGGCUAACUACGUG
rnacentral:rRNA from 1 species